rnacentral:rRNA from 1 species
ACUCCUACGGGAGGCAGCAGUGAGGAAUAUUGGUCAAUGGAGGGAACUCUGAACCAGCCAUCCCGCGUGUAGGAAGACGGCCUUAUGGGUUGUAAACUACUUUUAUACAGGAAGAAACGUACCCUCGUGAGGGUGCCUGACGGUACUGUAGGAAUAAGCACCGGCUAACUCCGUGCCAGCAGCCGCGGUAAUACGGAGGGGUGCGAGCGUUAUCCGGAUUUAUUGGGGUUUAAAGGGUCCGUAGGCGGAUUAAUAAGUCAGUGGUGAAAUCCCAUCGCUUAACGAUGGAACUGCCAUUGAUACUGUUAGUCUUGAAUGAGGGUGCAGUGGUUGGAAUGUGUAGUGUAGCGGUGAAAUGCAUAGAUAUUACACAGAACACCGAUUGCGAAGGCAGAUCACUAACCCUAAAUUGACGCUGAGGGACGAAAGCGUGGGGAGCGAACAGGAUUAGAUACCCUGGUAGCGACUGA